CCUACGGGGGGCAGCAGUGGGGAAUAUUGGACAAUGGGGGCAACCCUGAUCCAGCCAUGCCGCGUGUGUGAAGAAGGCCCUCGGGUUGUAAAGCACUUUCAGUGAGGAAGAACGCCUGGUGGUUAAUACCCAUCAGGAAAGACAUCACUCACAGAAGAAGCACCGGCUAACUCCGUGCCAGCAGCCGCGGUAAUACGGAGGGUGCGAGCGUUAAUCGGAAUUACUGGGCGUAAAGCGCGCGUAGGUGGCUUGAUAAGCCGGUUGUGAAAGCCCCGGGCUCAACCUGGGAACGGCAUCCGGAACUGUCAAGCUAGAGUGCAGGAGAGGAAGGUAGAAUUCCCGGUGUAACGGUGAAAUGCGUAGAGAUCGGGAGGAAUACCAGUGGCGAAGGCGGCCUUCUGGACUGACACUGACACUGAGGUGCGAAAGCGUGGGUAGCAAACAGGAUUAGAUACCCUGGUAGUC
rnacentral:rRNA from 1 species